rnacentral:rRNA from 1 species
UUUAAAUGGCCGCAGUAUACUAACUGUGCAAAGGUAGCAUAAUCAUUAGUCUUUUAAUUGAAGGCUGGUAUGAAUGGUUGGACGAGAUAUUAACUGUUUCAUAAAUAUUUAUAUUAGAAUUUUAUUUUUUAGUCAAAAAGCUAAAAUUAAUUUAAAAGACGAGAAGACCCUAUAAAUCUUUAUAUUUAUUUUAUUAAAAUUUUUUAGAAUAUUUUUAUUUUAAUAAUAGAUAAUAUUUUAUUGGGGUGAUAUUAAAAUUUAUUAAACUUUUAAUUAUUUAUAUCAUUAAUUAAUGAAUAAUUGAUCCGUUAUUAACGAUUAAGAAAUUAAGUUACUUUAGGGAUAACAGCGUAAUUUUUUUGGAGAGUUCAUAUCGAUAAAAAAGAUUGCGACCUCGAUGUUGGAUUAAGAUAUAAUUUUAGGUGUAGCCGCUUAAAUUUUAAGUC